GAAAAGACAGGGAGUGUAAAGGGUAUGAAAACAGAUCUACGUGUUAAAAAAAGUUUCAGAGAUGGGUGGAGACUCAAUGCUGCAAAACCGUUAAACAGACAAAAUGCCAUAGCUGCAUUCAGACCCAUGCAAAGUGAUCCAGUUUGACCGGUCAGGUGGCCAUAUCUCAGGAGCUUCUGUUGCAGGCUGGGAGGUGCUGAGUCAUGUACAGUAGGAGGCCACUCUUAUCUCCACUCUCCAGGAGAACUUCUGGCAGUUGGGUGUGGGGUGAAACGGGAACCUUGGAUGAUCUUGGCCUUUUUUUCACAGGACAACUUAUUGUUUGUGUAAGGACAGCGUAAAGUGAUUGAUGGUUGCCGAAGAGAAGGAAUGAAAACGGUUUGGAAGCCUUAAAGUUACCAAAAAAGGAGGAGGGGAGAGUUAAAGGAAGUUGUAAAGGUGUUGACUUUCAGCUGUAAGGAGAAGAGAUGGGAGGCCUGUUUUAUCGGCAAAGGAAACAGAUAUCAGAGGGCCAGCGACUCCAGGAAAAUGGAUCUGGGUUGAGCAAAAACCACGAUUACCACCGGCUCUGCUUUGGAUAGGGCCAUCUGGAGAGGUCUGCUCCAAAAAGAUGCUAAACCAGCUACUCUGGGGCCCAGCUAGGAAACACGUUUUCUGAAAAACCACCCGGUCCCUGGGUGAGGAGUUUGGUUUUCCUCCAGUGCUUUUCUCAAACACCUCCUCCUGCUUCCUCUUCGCUCGAGCUUGCAGAUGCCUCAUUCCUACUCAUUCUGAAAGCUGAGGACGUUUUGCCGUUGCAGGGUGAGGGUGGAAGAGUGCAGCGUCUGUUCCCGGUAGUGUCUGAUUUGACUCUUCAGAAACCCACAGAAAAUAACAAUUCUUGACAACUUCAAGCUGAGAAUCGAUGCAUGUUCUUCCACUUUCAAUGGAUCUUUUAUCCCACAUGGUUUAUAAGAAUUAAACUGAAAGCUUCAUUUUGCCUUACACGUCAUGUUUUGGUGCUGUAAGUCUAGAAAGUGAUGCUGUUUACACACCUCCAGCUUAUAGCCACAUGCUGUGGAGAGGUAAAGAGUAAAUCUAGGGCAGACAUACGGUUUGAUGGUACAGAUACAGAAACAAAUGAGAUAGUGAAAAGAUGUGAAGAUAAAUUAUUGCAAUGGUUAGGGAAAACUCUUUCUACUGAUCAUAUGACAUGCUUCAUUUUCUAAAGCAUGCUUAGUACUUUAGCAUUUUUAUAAAAGGUUUACUUUUAAUGAACCCAUGGCCUUAGCGUUGCUAACAAAAUGUUCUACAAGUUGAGCUAGAGGAGCAUUACAGAAGUAAAAAAGAUACAUACCUGUAUUUAAAAAAAUAAUUUUUUGGCUGAAUGGUUCAAUAAAUAGCCUUUAACAGGUUAUUUGUGGUGAAAAAUGUUCUUUAGAUUAUAAAAAUGUAAAAAGAAAUUGUGCUUUAAAGAACCUUUAUUUUUAAGAGUGUAUAUGACAAUCACUGUAAUGACACUCUUAAAAAUAAUGAUAAAAAAAUGAAAGGUUCUCAAAGGGAUCUUCACAGCGAUGUCACAGAUGAACCAUUUUUGGUAUGUA